ACUUCCUGGCCCUUCCUCUGGUGGCCCUGCCCUUCCUCUGGUGGCCCUGCUCAUCCCCUUGGUGGCCCUGCUCAUCCCCAUGGUGGCCCUGGUGGCGCUGGCCACUUCCUGGCCCUUCCUCUGGUGGCCCUGCCCUUCCUCUGGUGGCCCUGCUCAUCCCCUUGGUGGCCCUACUCACUCUCAUGGUGGCCUUGGUGGCCCUGACUGUUCCUGGUGGUGGCCCUGCUCAUCCCCUUGGUGGCCUUGGUGGCCCUGGCCACCUCCUGCCUCUUCCUGUGGUGGCCCUGCUCAUCCCCAUGGUGGCCUUGGUGGCCCUGGCCACCUCCUGCCUCUUCCUGUGGUGGCCCUGCCCUUCCUGUGGUGGCCCUGCUCAUCCCCUUGGUGGCCCUGCUCACUCCCAUGGUGGCCUUGGUGGCCCUGGCCACCUCCUGACCCCUCCUGUGGUGGCCCUGACCGUCCUGGUGGUGGCGCUACUCACUCCCAUGGUGGCCUUGGUGGCCCUGACUGUUCCUGGUGGUGGCCC
rnacentral:lncRNA from 1 species